GCCGCCUCCGUGAGGGGGCGAGUCGGGAUCGUGUCACCCGCCCCGCGCUGUGUCACAUCCCCCCGGGCCGUGUCACCCGCUCCUGGCCGGCGCGUGGGCGAAACGCCAUCGUGUCACUCGGCCGGAGGAAGCUCCUGGGCCGAGAGCGGCCCCGCGUUCCCCACCCUCGGCCCGGGAGGCGCCGCUCCGUCCCAACAUGGCGGGUGCUGCCUCUCAUAGCUCGCCCCGGCUGUCAGCGCUGCCGCGGGCACGGUCGGGCCGUGGAGGUCACGGGUGUAGAGUUACUACUGCCCAAAGCCCAGCAGACUCCAGUGCCUUCACCUGCCAGCGAGGUGUGAGCUGUUCCUCCAGAGCAGCUCCUUCCUGGCCCUGGCAGAGCCCAGGGCUCGCAGCCAAGGCUCUGCAUCCAGCCCUCACAGCACAUCAAUCCCCACCACACGCGAUCUUUUCAUCUUGCUUAGUUCACUACACGAUAGCUUAAAACGUACGAGUACUUGUUUUGUUUGAUCUUUUUUUGCUCCAGAAAAUACUGUAUUUGUUUCAUAGGAAGAGGUUAGCCUUAUUUGAUCUGAAUUUAUGGAUGCCUGAGCCAGGAUCCUGUCUGCUAUAGCACCCUGCCUCAAACUAUCUCCAAAUAAAAGAAAAACUCCAGAGAAAAGUCUCCGUACCUUACACAAAGGAAAUGUGAUUAUUCUGUCCCUUUCCUUUUCCCUUUGUGUUUCAGCACAAGAAUGUACUUAAAUUUUCCCUCCGCCAGCCUGUUUUACUAUUUUGAACCCUUAUUUUUUUCUUAGCUGAUUCAAUUUUAUCACCAUUUGCAUAUUGCCUGUUGUUACUGAAGUGUACAGGAUGGCAUUAAACACAUCAGUGUUUAGGUCAGCCUAAGAGUGGACUAAACAACUUGAAUCAUAACUGCUAUGGGCAGCAUCUGCUGUUUUUUGGCUGCUUGUCAAGAUACAUACUUCAAUUUUCUGUUACUGAUUCUACUUUGCCUCACAGAGGUUAAAAUUAUGGUGAUAACAUGGGUUGUAUUUACAUAACUAUCUCCCCUCCUAGUGUUCUCAGAACUGAUAAAGACUGGAAAGUGGACUUGGAUUUCUGGAAACCCUAUUACUGUUUCCUUCACCAAAGGUUCAUAAAGAGAUUUGGUUGCCAUGGAAGAUUAACAUAAAUCCUUAUUAAAAAUAGAAUAAGGAAUAAAAGGUUUUUACAGUAAUAUC